CCAUAAGUCGAAGAUCCACGAUACUCGAUAACUGUGAACAGAUCUGGAUGAGGCGACAGCGAUGCGCCCAGAAGCCAAAGCCCAGAACAUGCUCGAUAGACGGGGAACUCACAACUUGCUGGAGAUCGAACUGAAGCGAUGCAACCCAGCUUGCAUGAAGAAACUCGUCGAGAAACUACAUUAAUCCUACUCAUAGUGCUGAUAAAGUACAUACGAUAAUGUAAAGGUAUUGAUAAGAUAGAUUGUAUUGAUAUGUGGAGAUAACUUGAUACAAUAGUCGGGGCUUAUAUUUAUACCCUGAGCUGACCCACAAUCCUACCCAAACUUGACUAAACAAUACUUGUAUAAAAAGAAAUAUCUAACAAACCUGCCUAAUUAUAAAGAUACACGGACUCUAAUUUCCCUUGUAUAGAAUCCUUGCUAAUGAAGUUUCCUUCUCUGGACAAAUAUAACCCACACAUGCGUGAUUAACAUGUACUCUUUUGGUUACUUGCCAUACGUGACAUACAACUACACGUGGAGCCGAUCACCUUCCUUGCAUGUGGAUUUAUCUCUAAGUACAAAGCAUUGACAUGUCCUUCCAAAGUUAGAUUAUUUUAAUCUCUAAUAAAUUAAUUACGCACAUGCAUGCAUAUUCAUCGCAAGUGAGCCCUACCAAUGCUGCCAAUAGCCGAUGCUCCGAAUUAUCUAGAUUUGCGAAAAUCUGUUGUCAACAACACCAUAACGUUUCCCAAUCUCCUUUCGUACUCCCUAUGUUUCAAUUGUGCCAAUGUUUAGCUAUUCCCGUCAAAGAGAAUAGAAAUAAUUUCCAUCUUAUAGUUUUGUCAGAAAUGCCAGCGAUAUGCAAGCAUGCAUAGGUCAAAAUCCCGUAGGUGAGAGUAUGGGUUUUUGUUGCCUUCUCUAGAGAAGGGUUUAUCCUAAAUCAUUUUUAUAAAACAUGGGCGCAGCUCCUAGCUACAUGUUAGGACAGGCUCUGAAGUUUGUUGUAGGCUAAAGUUCAUGCUCAUGCCAUAUCCAUAGAUAGGAGUGGAAUUCAUAAUGAAAAGAAAAAAUAAAAAGAAAGAAUAAAACUAAAAUGUUAAGCUAGGCUCGAAGUUAAUUGAGCAACUGUUUCCCCAGCAAUGGCGCCAGAAAGCUUGUUCAUAUGUUUAAUACGCACAGAAUAAUCACAGAGACUAAUCCACAAGCACAUGGAUGUUGAUAUUUGGUAACGCAAUAAGGAAAUGAUCCGCAAGCGCACGGAUAUCGUUGAGCAUUUCAGCCGGGAGGUUACCCAGAGUAUCGUAUUUAUAUUUUUACCACUGGGAGAAAGCGUGCAUCUGACUAACCAAAUCUAUUGCUACUACCCUUUAGGAUACAAAGAAUGUUUUUCGAUGUGAGCGAUGUAUAGAGAAGACUGCAACCGUAGUCUCGUUCUAACCUUGGUAAGGAUGAUCUACUAUUCUAUUGGGGAGGCUCACGGAAUCUAGACACCACAGAGGAUGUUCAACCCACACCUAUAAACCCUAUCCUUCCUGCUAACGAGAUAUGGUUUGCAAAGGUAACUCGGAAAUGUCACGUUCCUUGCUACUACCACGGUCCAGCUAGUCAGGGGAUAUCUAUGAGUACUCUAGCCCAAACACCACGUUUACGCUAGCAAUGAUUACUCUAA
rnacentral:lncRNA from 1 species